rnacentral:rRNA from 1 species
GACGAACCGUGCGAACGUUAUUCGGAAUCACUGGGCUUAAAGCGCGUGUAGGCGGGCGGGAACGUCGGUCGUUGAAAGCCCCCGGCUCAACCGGGGAAUGGGCGCCGAAACGACCCGCCUGGAGGGACGUAGGGGGACCUGGAACUUCCGGUGGAGCGGUGAAAUGCGUUGAGAUCGGAAGGAACGCCCGUGGCGAAAGCGAGGUCCUGGACGUCUACUGACGCUGAGACGCGAAAGCUAGGGUAGCGAACGGG